AUGACUAUAUGCUCUAUAUUAUACCUGCAGAUCAUCACAGCAGCCGAAGUUGCUGUGCAGAGGGAGGAGAUCGUCCGAGCAUCAGGCCUCAUCCCGUCACAUAGGGAGGGUAUCCUCCAAACAGCCAGUGUCCCUGCACAGAGGGAGGGGAUUCUCUCAGCAGCCAGCAUCAAUGCACAGAGGGAGGAGAUCCUCAUUUCGUCAGGCCUCAUCACUGCACAGAGGGAGGGGAUCCUCCAAACAGCCAGUGUCCCUGCACAGAGUGAGGGGGUCCUCCAAACAGCCAGUGUCCCUGCACAGAGUGAGGGGAUCCUCCAAACAGCCAGUGUCCCUGCACAGAGUGAGGAGAUCCUCCAAACAGCCAGUGUCCCUGCACAGAGUGAGGAGAUCCUCCAAACAGCCAGUGUCCCUGCACAGAGGGAGGGGAUUCUCUCAGCCGCCAGCAUCAAUGCACAGAGGGAGGAGAUCCUCAUUUCGUCAGGCCUCAUCACUGCACAGAGGGAGGGGAUCCUCCAAACAGCCAGUGUCCCUGCACAGAGGGAGGGGAUUCUCUCAGCCGCCAGCAUCAAUGCACAGAGGGAGGAGAUACUCCGAUCAUCAGGCCUCAUCCCUGCACGGAGGGAAGGGAUCCUCCAAACAGCCAGUGUCACUGCGCAGAGGGAGGGAAUCGUCCCAAUGGCCAGCGUCCCUGCGCACAGGGAGGGGAUUGUACCAAAGGCUAGUGUUCCUGCUGAGAGGGAGGAGAUCCUCCAAACAGCCAGUGUCCCUGCACAGAGGGAGGGGAUUCUCCAAACAUCAAGUGUCCCUGCACCAAGGGAGGAGAUUCACCAGUCAGCCAUUGUCCCUGCACAGAGGGAGGGGGUUCUCCGAGCAGCUAGCAUCACUGCGCAGAGGGAGGAGAUCUUCAGAGCAUCAGGCCUCAUCCCUGCACAUAGGAAGGGGCUCCUCCGAGCAUCAGGCCUCAUCCCUGCACAGAGGGAGGGGAUUCUUCCAGCAGCUUCUUCCAUCAGCUACUAUCAGAAGAAUAAGCUCCUCAGAGCAUCACAACUCACCCCUGCACAAAGGAAGUUGAGAUUCCUGAUAGCCAGUGUCACUGCGCAGAGGAAGGGAAUCUUCCCAAAGGCCAGCGUCCCUGCGCACAGGGAGUGGAUUGUCCCAAAGGCUAGUGUCCCUGCAGAGAGGGAGGAGAUCCUCCUCACAGCCAGUGUCCCUGUGAUGAAUGAAAACAAUCCUCCACAACCACCUCCCAUCAUCCCCAUGGUGGCACCACUGUGGAAAAUGAUUGGUGGAGCGUGUCCUCCACCUGUGGAUUUCUAUUCCAAGAGAAGAGAUGUCCGACUUAGAUAUGUUGAGCAUCCUGCUAUGAUGUCCAUCACCAAGCCGGAACACUCUGAUGCCAACCCUCAGUUCCAGACUGGCAGCCGGCCGGUGGCCGAGCCCGAGACCCCUGCUGUUCACAAUAACAGUGGAGGCUGGCUCAGCUGGGUCUUUGGGAGUGGAAGAGCUAAGAAGGAGGUUCAUCUACCUGAGGACAAAGACAGAUCUAUUGUCUGGGAUCCAACUCUGCACAGAUGGGUUAACAGAACUGAGCCCAAGGUUGAGAACAAGUGUGUACCACCUCCACCGAUGGGGACAUAUGGAUAUCAGGGGAACACUGGCAGUGUCCCCAAAGGAGUAAAUCCUUACUCUAUGAAAGCAGCAGGUCUAUGGGGCAGCAGAUACCCUACAAUGAAUUACAAUGAUAGGACCAACUCAAAGCCUCCAAGCCAUGGGCCUGGACUGCUUACUAGACAGCUCUCUGGCUUGCUCCCUCCUUCACACUUUGACCUCAUGGCACCAAUGGUUGUGCCACCUGACACUCUACCCUACUGAGGUGCGAGGGCCAUCCUGUGCCACCAGUCAAUUGAUGGUGGAUGACCUUCUGACCCCGUGCUCGCCAGGUGACCCGGCUGCCAUAGAAUUGACCUGGAUGGAUGUGCCUAGCGACAAGCUGCUGUAGCCCAUCUGCAUGUCCGACAUGCUGCCCUCACUAUAUACCACGCAACCCACAGUCAACAUGGAGGUCUUGUUCAAGGUCAGGAAGUUCACAGAGGACUUAGAACAGGAGGUUUGAGAGCUCCUGGGUGGCAGGGGCUUUACUACUUCUUACUCAGUCUCUCCUAUCAAGACCCAACUCCAGUCAAAGAGUAGCUACAGUAUUACAGCAGUAUUACAACACUACGAACCUGCAUUGGCAAGAAUGAUGGAGCAUUUUAAUUUACACACAAUUGUGCAAUGGAAAUGUUUUAUUUUUGCAUAUCCCAACACCCCCUGAGACACCCACAAGUGCCUUGCUCAAGGGCACAGCGACAUUAUUAUUUAUUUUCCCACUUUGUCGGCUACGGAAUUUGAGCCAGCAACCUUUCGGUAACUGGCCCAAUGGUCUAACCUUGAGGCUACGUGCCGCCCUUUAGAAUGUAGGGUGACUCCCCUAGUGGGUCCUGAACCCAGAUCAGCAGCACUACAUUGCUGUGUGUCUGUAUAGUUGAGGGUAUAUUGGUUUAGUAAUACUCAUUCCAGUUCUGGUCCCAGAGGGGAUCUCAAUACUGUUACACGUAGCUAUGAUCACCAAGCUACCCUUACUUAAUAAAACCUGAAUUCAAAAAGAACAAGAUGUGCUUGUCAUUAUUUUAUUUUAACUUGUAUUAUAGUAUACAAACAUUUCUGUCCACAACUUUUGAAUCAGGUACCAUUUAAAUGUAAGGUGCUUAAUACAGUUCCAGCCACUAGGGGGUACUAAAAUAAAUAUAGUUUAAGUGAAUUGGGAAGAGUAAGAAUGAAAACUAAAGAAAAACUGUCAACGGUUGUUACCUGUGCUGACAUGAUAAAAAGUGGAGUACACAGUACUUUUCGCGUUGUAGUUUAUAUGAUAAACUCAUUGGAAGGGUAACAAAUUUGGAGGCACCGCUGAGAUGUAUUUUCAUGUGAGCACCGGCCCAUAUUCCUGGAACGGACAACGAGUGAGAGACAUUGGGAGAGUAGCUAGCUAGCUAACGUUAGCAGGCUAACCACCUAACGGAGUGUAGCUAUCUUGCCAUUGCCUGCAUUGUCGUUGUUGCCACGUGAGUAGGACAAUAUGAGUCGAGAGAGGGAAACGUUGUUGGAUGAAAUCGAACAGAGUUUAUGGACUUUAACUGAGGACAAUUUACGGCACCUGUGUGUAGUUGUGGAAUAGGAGGUGUAGAUGACUGAAGUAAAAGGAAAGAGCCAUUGCGCUUUGCGGCGAAAAUUGAUGGAAGAUUACUGUGAGAAGGAAGCUUUAAUGGAAUCAGAGGAUGAGGGAAUUUCUUGCCUGCUUCAACUGAAAGACGAAAUCAAAGGAAUAUCGGACUCUGAGGAUACUGUGAAAGUCUGCUUUACAAAUCCCAGCCAGUCGGCGCCAACGAGGCAAGUGGACAGCAAUGUGGAACGCCGUUUGGGUCUUUGCGUGUCAAAAAGAUGCACGUCAAAUAACACUAUUUGACACGUCAAAUAAGCUUCUUUAGCAAUCAGGACCUGAAUAUGACUCCAGGUCACACAAUAAUUUAACACGUUCAUUAAUUCUGUACGUAGUUAUUGCACAUUGAUUACACUCUCACUCGUAUUUCAUAUGCCACAAAGAUUCACCGAUACAUAUGCUACGAGUCAAAGAUUUCGUCACUGAUGAUCACAUUUGCUUAAAGGUCGUUUGGACUCCGCCCAAGUCUCAGGUAGUGAUGAUAGACGUUCACUCAACUUCUGUUCUUCCGAGGUAAAAUUAGGUAGCUAGUUAUUAACAAUAGCAGCCCAAUUUCUCAAAAAUUGUAAAUCUACCAUCUCUGAUUGCACACCAGACUGCUGCUCACGGACAGAAGAGAUGGACUUCAACCAUCAAUAGCCAGGCUAGAGACCAUGUGGCGGAGCCUUCGGUGGGCAAGUGGUCAUUUGAUUGAUGAAGAGAUGGCCAGCAAUCUAAUUGCUGUUGCCGAGGAGUUCCUACAAGAGGCAAAUGACAUCUAACAACGGGAACCUUACGAAAAUGCCAAUGUCCUGUCAAGUGCCUUUGGAGGGGAGGCGGUAUCACAUCACCAAGGAGCAGCUUGAGUUCCUCAUAGAUUGUCAUAUGACCAUCAGACAAAUGGCAGAUGUUCUCAAUGUGUCGCACUCUGUGGUCAAGUUGCGCAUGAGGUGUAGGAUUGUUAUCCCUGGUGCUGUGGAGGGUUACAGCAGACUUGUUGUGUUUCUGAAGGCCUCUGACAACAACAGGACCGCCACAGUCAUGGAGUCAUUCGAAGCAGCCAUCACCAGCUACGGAACACCAUCCCAGAAACGUACGAUAGACAUCUUCAACUCUAAACGGAUGGGGACCAGAGUUUAGACACAGGUGGCCUUAACAAAAGUUAAGUACUUCCCCAUUCCAGUACGAUUCUGUUUGGUUAUAUUUGGAGAGAGUCAGAGACUGUUAAGAUAUACGGCCGAUGGUUAUUGUAUUUUGCUCUAUUGCGCUUUAGCACAGCAUUCCAUCUGCUGACACAUUAUUUGUCUUCCACUCAGUACAACACGACCCAGGAGAAGCCUACUGCAAGCACUGGUUUGGAACCUUCAGAGCGUGCCUGCUGUGGGAGGACAACAGAACAUUCCGAAUGGACAUUAUUAAAACAGAACUUACAUUUUUGUAAUGCCCAAUCGGGACUUUUAUAACUUGUUAAAGUAAAUAAUUGUGUGGAGAACGCCCUAUAGUUAAAAAAAUAAACUAUGAAGAUAGUGGUUUGAACUCGUUACAUUUUAUAUAAUUGUGAUUAACAGCAACCUAUUACAGUUAGUAACAUAACAUUGUGACAGCUCAAAUGAUGUGGUUGAAGAUGGACUAGUGCAGGGCUCCUAACCUUGUUCUUGGAGAGCUACUGUCUUGUUGGUUCACUUUGACCCUAAUCUAGUGCACCUGAUUUGAAUAAUUACCUGCUUAAUAAGUUAAUGAGGUUCGUUAAAACUGAGGUUGGAUUGAAAACCUACAGGAGGGUAGCUCUCCAGGAACAGGGUUGGAGAGCCUUGGACUAAUGAAUCUAGUUCUUAGAUCAAUGCAUUUGAAAUUCGAUAAGUCACUACGAAGGUGCAGUUCCCAGAAGUGGAGAUGUCACUUAAUGCAGUGGAUGGGAAGCCUUAUUUCAUGUAGUUCUAAUUAAAUGAUAAUGGUUGAA